CCCUACAUCGGCUGGCUGAGCCACUCUGGGGUCAGGGUGACGCUCGGCGAUGGAUCUCAGUGGCUGAUCCAUAAAGGGGACAACUACGGCGUGUCCUCUAACACCGUGGUGACCCCCGCUGAAGACAUGAGCUGGAGGUGGGAGGUUAAAGAGACGGCA